rnacentral:rRNA from 1 species
UGGGGAAUAUUGCACAAUGGGGGAAACCCUGAUGCAGCGACGCCGCGUGAACGAAGAAGGUAUUCGUAUCGUAAAGUUCUGUCCUAUGGGAAGAUAAUGACAGUACCAUAGAAGAAAGCUCCGGCUAAAUACGUGCCAGCAGCCGCGGUAAUACGUAUGGAGCGAGCGUUGUCCGGAAUUAUUGGGCGUAAAGGGUACGCAGGCGGUUUAAUAAGUCGAAUGUUAAAGAUCGGGGCUCAACCCCGCAAAGCAUUGGAAACUGAUAAACUUGAGUAGUGGAGAGGAAAAUGGAAUUCCUAGUGUAGUGGUGAGAUACGUAGAUAUUAGGAGGAAUACCAGUAGCGAAGGCGACUUUCUCGACACAAACUGACGCUGAGGUACGAAAGCGUGGGGAGCAAACAGG